AAAACUUGGCGGGAGAUAAGGAGAGAGUGACCCGCGUAGGGGCCCCAGCUCUCCAGUUCUCUCAGUCCAUUACAAAGAGAGGCUGUGGCUCCCCGAUCCCGCCCCGCCCCGCCCCGGCACCACGCUCUAGUCCCGGCCCCGGGGCCCUUCCUUGUCUCAGUACUAGACUAUUUCCGAGGGUCAGAAGUCUUUGCGCCAUAAAGUUUUGUGUCUCGGCGUGCGUUGGCAGCCCGUGCCCAUGCUCUCUGCUGCCGCCUUUUCCGUGCCCAUCGCCCCUUUCUUUCUCCUGAACUAUCACACUUCUGCAGAACAGAUCCCGACCCCUCUGGGAUUCUUCGCUGCAAGCAUGAGAAGAGACCAAAGGCCUGAGCAGUUUGGGACGGGGCGGAACGGACUUCCCCGGGUACCUGGCGCGCGAGCCAGAGAACUAUAUAGCCAGCUGGUCUAGAGCCCGUGGACGCUUUCUGCAGGCGAGCUAGGCAGGCCGGGGUGUGUGCUCUAGGAAGUGAGAAGGGCUGAAUCAGGGACCAAGCCUCCCUGCAGAGGGAAGCUGCUGUUUUGUCUGCAUUGGGGGCUGUUUGGUGGUGAAAUGAUUGGAACUCAAAACCCACAGAUGAACACCAUCCAAGAUUGUUUGUCACUAUGUUUGAUUCAUGCAUUAUCCUCUCUCUUGGAGGCCAAUCGCGCAUCGUUCUCGGUUUGGAGACUUGGUAGAAAGUCCAAAAGGAAUUAAUUGUUCCUGCAAGGUUUCUUGAGAGGGAGGGGAGGACUGGACCAGAAUGGAAAGUUCAUUUGUGAGACUUUGGGACUAAAGGGUGAAGUGGACAGAGAGCUGGACUGGCCCGAGGAUCUGGAAGCCCUAGAUUCAGACCCUGCCUUGAGUGCACAGUAGAUGGGGAAACUGAAGUAAAUAGGAUUAUCCUGGGUCACAGAGCUAGAGCAGAAAAAGCAAAAGGACUUGGUAGAGAAACUCAAUGACAGCUCCUCAUCGCUUCAUCUUCCUAGCUGUUCCCUGACAAAAUAAACCUGAAAUACUGAUAGCAUGGAUUAAACUAACUUUAUUUGCUUAGAUUGAGUUCUUUUUUCCUUAUUUACCAAAGCUUAUUAAAGAACACAUUGAUUUAAUAGAUAUUUCAGAGCCAAAGUUCAAGCAGUAGAUUUAUAGAAGAUAAUUUAUUCAAAUAAAAUCUCAGUAACAGGAAUAUGACAGACUCAAAAUGGUUUACUGAGGAACAACUAUAAUAUAUUUGUGUAUUUUGGGGUAUUGUUGGUACUGUUGUUUUCUGACUUUUUUUUUUUUUGCUUUUCAUUGAAUAGUGAUUCUGAAACUCUCUGAAAUAAAAGCAACCAUAUGGUUUAUAGCAAAAUGUCUCUAAGCAUUACUCACAGGAUUGUA